rnacentral:rRNA from 1 species
CCAGACUCCUACGGGAGGCAGCAGUGGGGAAUAUUGCACAAUGGGGGAAACCCUGAUGCAGCGACGCCGCGUGAGUGAAGAAGUAUUUCGGUAUGUAAAGCUCUAUCAGCAGGGAAGAUAAUGACGGUACCUGACUAAGAAGCCCCGGCUAACUACGUGCCAGCAGCCGCGGUAAUACGUAGGGGGCAAGCGUUAUCCGGAUUUACUGGGUGUAAAGGGUGCGUAGGUGGCAGGGCAAGUCAGAUGUGAAAGCCCGGGGCCCAACCCCGGUACUGCAUUUGAAACUGUCCGGCUGGAGUGCAGGAGAGGUAAGCGGAAUUCCUAGUGUAGCGGUGAAAUGCGUAGAUAUUAGGAGGAACACCAGUGGCGAAGGCGGCUUACUGGACUGUAACUGACACUGAGGCACGAAAGCGUGGGGAGCAAACAGGAUUAGAUACCCGCGUA